rnacentral:tRNA from 1 species
GGGCUCGUAGCGCAGUGGUGGUCGCGCCUUUACGACAAGUGAGAGGCCGCCGGUUCGCAUCCGGUCGGCCCCA